rnacentral:snRNA from 1 species
AUUGUCCCUUCGGGGACGUCCGAUAAAAUUGGAAUGAUACAGAGAAGAUUAGCAUGGCCCCUGAUCAAGGAUGACACGCACAAAUCGAGAAAUGGUCCAAAUUUUUUGAAGAUUUUGCGCGCCGGUCCCUACGCAGUUUAUAGAUACGCCCCUGGUCCAUCUUCUUGUGGGCAUUGUUCCCUGUUUUGCAGUUACGCCCUGGGCCUUCUGCCUGUGCGGUUGUGGCGUUGUGCCCUUCACUUUGCAGCCAAGUCCUUCCACUUUUCUCUCUUCUAUCCAAGUCCUUGA